rnacentral:snRNA from 1 species
AUACUUACCUGAUGUCGAGCUGUCCGGUGAUCAGCCAGGCCGGGGCUCCGUGCGGAGGCUUUCCAUUGCACUGCGGAUGGCUGAAGCGCGCCACUUUCCCAAACUGGGAUAGCUGGGACAUGUAAUUUUUGGUAGUGGGGCUUGGCGUUCGCGCCAGCCCCUA